GAUGAACGCUGGCGGCGUGCUUAACACAUGCAAGUCGAACGGUGAACACGGAGCUUGCUCUGUGGGAUCAGUGGCGAACGGGUGAGUAACACGUGAGCAACCUGCCCCUGACUCUGGGAUAAGCGCUGGAAACGGCGUCUAAUACUGGAUAUGUGACGUGACCGCAUGGUCUGCGUUUGGAAAGAUUUUUCGGUUGGGGAUGGGCUCGCGGCCUAUCAGCUUGUUGGUGAGGUAAUGGCUCACCAAGGCGUCGACGGGUAGCCGGCCUGAGAGGGUGACCGGCCACACUGGGAUUGAGACACGGCCCAGGCUCCUACGGGAGGCAGCAGUGGGGAAUAUUGCACAAUGGGCGAAAGCCUGAUGCAGCAACGCCGCGUGAGGGAUGACGGCCUUCGGGUUGUAAACCUUUUUUAGCAGGGAAGAAGCGAAAGUGACGGUACCUGCAGAAAAAGCGCCGGCUAACUACGUG
rnacentral:rRNA from 1 species